CAGCAGCCGCGGGAAUACGGAGGGUGCAAGCGUUAAUCGGAAUUACUGGGCGUAAAGCGCACGCAGGCGGUCUGUUAAGUCAGAUGUGAAAUCCCCGGGCUCAACCCGGGAACUGCAUUUGAAACUGGCAGGCUUGAGUCUUGUAGAGGGGGGUAGAAUUCCAGGUGUAGCGGUGAAAUGCGUAGAGAUCUGGAGGAAUACCGGUGGCGAAGGCGGCCCCCUGGACAAAGACUGACGCUCAGGUGCGAAAGCGUGGGGAGCAAACAGGAUUAGAUACCCGCGUAGUCCCUGUCUCUUAUAC
rnacentral:rRNA from 1 species